rnacentral:SRP_RNA from 1 species
GCCGGGCGUGGUGGCGCAAGCUUGUAGUCCCAGCUUGGGAGGCUGAGGCUGAAGGAUCGCUUGAGCCCUGGAGUUGUGGGCUGCAGUGCGCUGUGCCGAUCGGGUAUCCACACUAAGGUCGACAUUAAUAUGGUGACCUCCUGGGAGUAGGGGACCACCAGGUUGCCUAAGGAGGGGUGAACCGGACCAAGUCGAAAAAGAGAACUGGAGCACCAAACUGACCUAUGAAGUUCUAUGAAAAGACCUAGUAGCAUAUACAUAUAAGUCCUGUGUUCUACUACUGAACCACCUCUC